rnacentral:rRNA from 1 species
AAAGAUCUAAAUAAGUUUUAUCAUUUUUGUUUCAAAAAGAUUUUUAAAGCUUGUUUAGUUGUAAAAUUCUAAUCGCUUUUAUUAAUAUCUAGUAACUUUAUAAAUAAAUUUAGUUUAGAAUGAUUAGGAAAAUUUUUAUUAAAAAUUUAUUCUUAUUUCAUUUUUAUAUCUUUGGGGAUGAGCUCAUAGAUACACAUAAAAGAAAUAUUAUUAUUUGUUUUAUUUGUAGGCUUAGAAUUAGCCAUUAAAAAUUGUUAUAAAAUAUAAUUUCAAAUUUUAGAUUUUUUUUUCUUUUAUUUAUAUAAAGUUAACUAUUUAAUUUUUUAUAUUUUGAAAAAAUGGUAAUAUUAGUAGAUAUAAAAAUUUAGAUAAUUUUUUAAAUUUAUCUAAAAAUUUUUUUUAAAAAAAAAUUUAACAAAAGAACUCGGCAAAAAAAAUUUCCGAAUGUUUAACAAAAACAUUUCCUCUUAGAACAAGAGGUAAAGCCUGCUCACUGAGGAUUUAAAGAGCCGCAGUAUCCUAACUGUGCUAAGGUAGCAUAAUCAUUAGUCUUUUAAUUGGAGACUGGUAUGAAUGGCUCAACGAGAAAUUGACUUUUUUUGUUAUAUAAAUUGAAUUUAAUUUUUUAGUGAAAAAGCUAAAAUAAUUCAGAAAGACGAGAAGACCCUAUAGAGUUUUAUGUAUUUUUUAUAAUUGUUUUUAUUAGAUUUUUUAAGAAUAAUUAUUUUUAAACAUUUUGUUGGGGCGACAUUUAGAUAUAAAAAACUCUUUAUUUUAAUAAUUUUUUUGAAAAUAUUAUUUGAUCCUUUAUAAAAGAUCAAAAGAAAAAAUUACCUUAGGGAUAACAGCGUAAUCUUUUUUGAGAGUUCUAAUCGACAAAAAGGUUUGCGACCU